GCUCGCCGGGUUGACCGUGCUCCUGCAGAGACAGGUUCUACGGAGUGGCCCCAACUCGGAUGCCUCUAGCUCCCUCCCGAUCUCCACACCAACUCAGACCGAGGUCUAUGGGAGGUUUGUUUGAUUUUCUUCACUUGGAUGCAUAGUUUCACUGUACAGCGAGCAGACUGGAUUUCAAUUCCCUGAGAUGCUCCUGCCUCGGCCCCCUGAAAGCGGAACUCACAGAUGAGCGUCACCACGCGGGAACCUAUUUGCUGUUUUGAAGGUGUGACACAGUGAUUUAGUUCCUUACCCCGUUCUGCUGCGACGUCCUCAUUCUAAAUGGGUCAGCAGUCUGAAAAGGACACGGCUGUUGAGGGGCACAGCCCCAACCCCAGCUCAGAUCCCCAAACUAUCCACGAUGACACGAAGGCUUGGAGGACGCUCACUAAUGAUUCUAAUCUCCGGAGGGUGCUAGGGGCUUCACCUGCGGCCGUGGACCAUCUCUUCGGGUAGUGUGCGUGCACUGUAGGAGUUGUGCACUUUGCCCAACCCUUCUCUGCCGCAUUUGAAACUACUUUGGGUGCAUUCUGCUGCUACUUUUUCUGUGAGACUUCUCGCUGCUGUUGAAAAAGUAAAAAAGAAGGAAAGUAGGAGGGAUCAAGUUUUCAUUUCGAGGUUCUGAACGUUCUAUUUGACCCUGUCUUCUCUGGGAAUCGUGAAAAGGUGACUCGUUCUGUAACAUAGGUGACAAGGAAAAGGGGGGGUGUGAUUUUGCCAGCUACAGAUAGUUUCUGUGAUCGUGUGAUGUUUGGAAUUCUGGGGACUUUUCAAAGGGGGUUGAAAGGGGUGGAGAAGGGUGGAAGAAAGCAGAGCCCAUAAAGCAGCAAAGCACAGCUACACCCGCCUUACAUCCUGGUCCUCACAGCACUGAGAGAUAAUUUGUGAGUCAUCUUUACUAAGGUUUUCCACUUUGGUGGGUCGGGGGUCCGCUCCCUAUUCCUUGUUCAGCAGUCAUAGGAACCUAGUCUUGGAGCAAAGUUUUAGACUGCACACACCCAGGGCCACAAGGGGCUAGAAGAAAUAAUCAAAAGAUGGACUGUCCUGGAGAUGGGGGGGCUGGUGUGGAGCUGCUUCCAUGCUGUACAGAGCCCUGGGCUCUGGGGUUAAUCCUGAAGCUGGUGUCAUUCCAGGAGGUGGCUCAGGCUCUGGAGUCUUCCCAGGGAUAGCUGAGGUCCUCCACCUGUAGAGGAGACUAAUGUGUUUGUGUGCUAAAGGAAAGUGGAGCCCAUACUGGAACAAGCCCCCAAGCAUGUGUGGGCCACUGCUGAAGGGCAGACGAGUCUCAGCCCUGGAUCUCCAGACAGGCUCGGGAUACUUGUCCCUGGGAACGCGUGCAGGAGAAAGGAGCUGGAUCUCAGAGGCUUUCUAGGCUUAUUGCAUGAAUCUCGCAAACAAGGAACUUUUUGCUGAGUGGCCUUUCAGGAAUUCCCAGGGAACCCACCUGCCACACAGCAUCAGUAUAACCAGCUCUUGGGCUUGGUCCCCAUCCCUCUAGCACUGGUUCUUAGCACAGAUGGAUUCUGUCUUCCUACCCUCCUAACUGUCUCGGCUACCCUCGGUUCUGAACUGUUCAGGGAAAGCUGGAAAGUGAGGAGUAAGACCCCGCUGUGAAGCUCACCCCGUGGUAAGUGGUUCCCAUCCUGGGUUAGGUGCUGAGUUCUUUAAGAAAGCAGGCUGAGCAAGCCUUGGGAAGCAAGCCAGGAAGCAGCACCCCUCCAUGGCCUCUGUAUCAACUCCAGGAUUUUGCCCUGUCUAAAUUCCUGUCCUGACUUCCUUCAGUGAGGAACAGCAAUGUGAAAGUGUAAACCAAGCAAACCUCUCCUCCCUUCAUUCACACACACAGUUUAACUUUUUUUUUAAUUUAUUUUUUUAUUUUUGGUUUUUCAAGACAAGGUUUCUUUUGUGUAGCUCUGGCUGUCCUGAAACUUGCUCUAUAAACCAGGCUGGCCUUGAACUCACAGAGAUCCACCUGCCUCUGCUUCCUGAGUGCUGGGAUUAGAGACAUGCACUACCACCUCCUAGUUUAGAAAUAUUAAAAAAAAAAAAAA
rnacentral:lncRNA from 1 species